UUUUAUUAUAUUUAUUCUCAAAAACAAGUUAUGUUCAUUUAUAAAAUAUAUAACAAUGUCAAUAUGGCAAUCAUCAAUGAGAAAAGAUAAUAAUUUGGUAAAUAUUGAAAAGGGUAGUAAAGGGUUUUUUUUGUGCAACAUCUUUUCCUAUUUCACUUAACAUGCAAGAGGAUCCUUAUUCAACUUCUUAAUUUUAUGCAAUAUAUUCAUUUGCUUUAUGAAAGGGAUAAAAUUAUUUCUCAUUUACCAUUUAUAAACAAUUUUAGUUUCAAUCCUUCUUAAACAUAUUUUUUUCUUUUCACAAUCUAAAUUGUAUAAAAACAAUCACAACAGUUGUGUUCUAAAAAUUCUAGACAAUAUCUUAAUAUUGUUACAAACAAUUUAACUUUAAAUUCAGAAUAAACACAAAAAUGAGACUAAGUUCACAUUUCUUAUUUAAAUAUGUAUGUUUCAUCAAGCAUAUAUUUGACUUCCAUUGAUAAAUUCACACUUCAGUCAAUAUAUUUUAAAGUUUGCAUUAAUAAAUGUGCGUCACAAUUUCUAUAUUCACAGUGCCUGACGAAGCAACAUAAUAUUUUAUGUUAAGUUGUCUACCUGCAAUAACUUGAAAGAGGUUAUUGAUGGGGUGAGCUAAAAAAAGAGAAUAAUGAACUUAAAGUUGGGUUUAGACUAUUAUUUCACAAUUUAUAAGUAUUAGCAUUCACAUUUGAAGAAUAUUUGACAGUCUUAAAAAUAUGAUUAAAACAAUUACAUGUUAACAGUAAAAAUGUAAAUAGCAAUAUCAUAUAUAAUCCUUUGAUAAAACAUUAAAUACAUAAAAUUAAAAAAAAAAUAAA